rnacentral:lncRNA from 1 species
CUGUAUAUAGCCGAUACAAUCACCCCAUAUUCUCAUCACAAACCCUUCCCUUGUUUUCUUCUGCUCUUAACUAUCGAGAAGCAACAAUGCGUUCAUCAACCAGAAAACUGCUCACCCUCAAUGCCAUUAAAAUGUCAAUCUUGAUCUUGCUCCUCAUUUUUAUCUUCAACUCUAAUCAGAUGGUAACUGGGAGAACUCUGCAUCACAGUAAUAAGCAAACACUUGCUGCUAAUGAGAAGAAGGUGGUGGCCGUUCCAGACAAAGCAACACCACAAAAUUCUGCGCCCAACCCAUGCACUUAUCUUCCUGUAACAGAUCCUAAAAAUUGUGGAAAGCAUUAGAAUCUUAAUUACAGCAAGUCAUCAACUUCACAUGAAUAUUCUGCGGGUACUUGUAUAAUUAUUGUUAUUAGAUUAUGUUUUAUUUUGAGAAGUUAUUUCAAAUAAAAUCUCAUGUUCUAUAUAUUUUAUGAAAGUUCAACAAAAUUCCAAUAAUAAUAGACCUCACGCCCAAGCAUGAAUAUAUGGAGCCUGAAGUUUAUAGGCAAACACAUUUGCAGGCGGUGGUCGGUGCAGCAUAUAAAAAGAGGGGCCAAUUGACCCCUCUUUUUUUUUUUUUUUUUUUUUUUUUUAAUAAAUAUAUGCAUAUUUGUCUAAAUUAAUACUUAUUCUUAUCUCCAAAUCUCAUCUGACUAAGACUUGUAAAACUAGAACCUAGCUAUGUUCCUCCUCCUCUAACACCAGGGCUUAAGUGCAAUACAACAGAAAACAAUGCUUCAAAUAAUCUAUGGUAUGGUUUUUAAUAUAUAUUUCUUUUUAUUUAUAUCAAAGUGGUGUUUAGUACCACAAAAUAAAACUAAAUACUUUUUUUUUUUUCUAAUGUUGAAUAAUAUAUGUAUUAAAAAUUGUCAUUUAUCAAUUGUCACUUCAAAUAAAUUUAAUUAUUAGGUAUUGGAAAUUUUAAUUUUAAGUACCCAAAUGUGUUGAAAAUCUACUUAAGAUAGUUACGUAUCUUAAUUUUUUGCUUUGAAAGUGAGAUGAAAAGUUUAAAAUGCUAUUGUCAAAAAACUUUUCGUAUCUUCAACCACCAAGAAAAGUCCUCGUACUUUCCUUUUCUAAUGAUGGUUUGUGAUCUUAUCCUAACGAAAUGAUGCUUAUUGUGUUAAUAAUGACUUUGGUUUUCCUUUAUUUAUUAAGAAUACUAAUAAAAAAAUAUAAAAAUUUUAACACUUAAUUGAAAUGUGAAAUAGUUAAAAUCUCAGUCGUAAGUGUUUUUAUGACCCAACAAUGUAUUUAGGUUCAAUUUUUUUUUUAGUUUAAUUUCAAUUAAACUGAUGAAAUAGAAAAUUAGACUUUUAUUUUUUAUAAAAAUUAAACUAAAAUAUAAUUAAUAGGAGAUUAAAUUGAAAUAUUUUGAUUUGAUUCUGUUUGAUUUAGUUAAUUUGAUAACCGAAGUAACUUAUCUUAAAUAAUAUAUUAGUUAGUUAGUUUUGCAUCUCUCUUUCUCUGCCAAGUAACAUAGUUUUAGCAAUUUCAAUUCAGUUGGGUGAAAUCAAAUUUUUUGUAUAAAAAAUUAAAAUUAAAGUAAUUGAAAAUUAUAAAAUUGAUUAAUCAAAUUGAAUCGAAAAUUUGAAAAAUUAAAGUUGACUCAUCGUUUAAAGAGAGAUUAUUCGUAAUGUAGCUUAGAAUAAUAUUUCUAUAAUUUAUCUUCCAAUAAAUCAAAAAGGAAAAAGAUUAAUAUAAAAAUUUUAAAUCCUUCUAAAAUUUAAAAGAGAAAUUGCCUAGUAAUUUAAGUAUGAUUGCCAAAGUGAUUAUAAAUUGUUUUAGUCAGUAUUUAACAUUUAGUCUAUAAAUAAAUAUUUUUAAUUAAAUAUAGUAAAUAUAAAUGUUAGAACAAUAAUUUAAAAUUCAAUACUUAACUCUUAAAAAUAAUUCAAAUAAUAAUGUAAAAAUGUACAUCAUCGGAAGAAUUUUAAAUAAAUACUAUCUCAAUUCUAAGCCUGAAAACGCAUGCACAAAUUAAAAAAAAAAACUCUUAAUUAAUGUUGGUCUAAUUGAUAUGAGAACUCUGAGAUUUCAGAUUCGAGACUUCUCUGUCACAAGAGUUUUUUGUAAUUUAGUGAGCAAAGGAGAAUUAUUUUAUUGUUUAGUCUAUUAUAUUCUUUUGGCCCAGGUGCUAGUUUGGUUGGCUUUUCACUUCUGUGGAGAAUAGGAGAUUUCGAAUUUAAGUUCUCUCGACUACAGUUUUUUAUCUAUUUUGUGAUUCAAUUUCGGCCCAUAAAGACCUCAAAUGAAUUAAAAAUAAUAAUAAAAAAACUCUUAAAAAUUGUAAAGUUUAUAAUUCAAAUAUUUAAUUAUUUGAUUGCUAAUAUAUUUAGUUAUUGACUACUAAAUACCAAAUCCUUGCAUUAAAAAAUAAUGUUGGAUGUUAAAAUAAAAAAAAAAAAAGUUUUAUAAAACACAGCCCAUUUGGAUCCCUCGUAGUCUAUAUAGUCAAAAGUUCAUAACACAAAAACACUGCAUUUAACUCCCUUUAAUCACCCUUAAAUCUCGCAUCUUAAUCACUCCGUCCCUUCCCUAGAUUUCCUCAUUUGUUUCUCUCUCCUCUGUCCAAACAAAAUGAGCUCUUACUCUUCUUCUUUCACUCUUUGCCUCUGCUACUGCUUUCCUAAUCGUCCCCAUGAUCACCACUAGCUUCAAUCUCUACAUCACAAUUUUCUUCCUCUUUCUUGCAUUGUUUUCUUUAUGGGUUUCUUAAAAAAUGAAACACCUAAACACCUAAUUUGCACAUGCAAAUGCUGUUUAUAUUCUUUUCUUCAAAACCCAUUUGAGAAUGACGGAUUUUUGUUUGUUUUAAGCUUUUUAUAGUCCUGGUAAUUGUAUAAGUUGAUAAAAAUUGACUUAUAGGACUGGACAGAGUUCUUGAAUUUGUGGGGUCUUUUAUGUUUGCUGUUUGUAUAGUUAUAGUAGCAGUGGUAGUGGAAACAUAUAGAGGAGAAAAAUGAUAGGGUCAGGGAUAAAUUUGGUGAUGACUGUUAUAGGAUUUGCUGUUAGUACUAUGUUUAUAGUAUUUGUGUGCACCCGUUUAAUUUGCGCUCGGAUUCAGUUAAACGCAUCAAGACGCUCAUUUCCUAUUACAUCCAGAUCUGAUCUUAGCAUUGUAAGCGUUUCUUUCCCAUUCAAUGCACUUUCGUUCCCAUUCAAUGCUUAAUUCAUUUUGCUUUUCUCUCUUUUCUGUUUUUUUUUCUUUUAAAUUUUAAAUUUUUGUCCUUUCUUUCUUCUGGGUUUGUGUGGCUUACAUAUUCAAGUAACUGUUUUUGUAUGCCAUAACUUACACUUUACAGGUCUAUGUAUGGUAAUUGAAAUUGGGUUCUUAGGAUUUUCGAUUUUCUGUUUAUUUGGGUGGAAUUCUGAAUUGAGUAAUUAUUUGGGUAGACUGGGCUUGGAUUUUGCUUCUAAAGUUAUUGUGGUACUUCUUUUAAUUGAUUUUUUUUUUCUGAAGUCAUUAUGCUUCUUAUUUUAUUCUCUCUAACAGCUUUGGAAAUGAAAUAGGAAGGAUAAUAGACAUCUCAUCUUCCAAGAUUCCCAUUCCUUAUUUUUUCCAGAUAAAGUAUAAUUUAGUAAUCUUAAAAUUUAUUUUCUUAUUUUCUAAAAUUAGAUUCCUAGAUUAAAUUCCUAUUGUUCAAAUAUAAAAUUAUUGUAAAACAAACAGCAAGAUAGAAUCUAUUCCAGCAAUUAUAUUCUGUUCCAUUUUUAGAGCAAACCAAGUAGAAUUUUUCGUUUAUUUUCAGUUAUUAGUUUCAUAUAGUAUUUGGUUUCAAAUUUGGAAUUCUAUUAUUUACUGCCAUAUAAAGCUAUCUAGAACAUGCUAAAUGAUGAAAUUUCCCAGACUUAAACAUCGUUUUUCCAAAAAAUUUUUAAAUGUAUUGAAAUUAGAAGCUUGACUAGUGUUCUCAACAUCUGUGCUACAGCUGGAACGAGGAUCACAUGGCCUUGAGCCUGUAAUUGUUGCAAACUUUCCAACGAAGAAGUACAAUGAUGAACUUUUCUUGGCAUCAGAAGAUGCACAGUAUGUUCUUUUUCACCCAGUUUAUAUUUCUGUUUGAUGCUUUAGACUCUGGAUCAUAUGCUGUGAACUUCACGGACAGAUUUAGGUUCUCUUGAUAUUCUUAUAAAUGCCCAAAAUUUGCGAUGUCUCUUACAAAUUGAUGCUUUUUGCCUUUUUGUUUCUUUUGGUGAUGUCUAUUGAUAAGGGAUUGUUUUGAACUGAACAACAGAGAUAGUAAGUAUUUCAUUUUUGAAAUAUUGUGCAUUUUUCAAACAGGCAUUAGCUUAAGUUGUCAGUGUUUCGUAUGCUCACACCCAGGUAAUGGUGUUGGAUACAUGUGCAUCUUACAGGUUAGUUGCAAUUUUAUCAUGUCAAGUUCUUUUUGGUUGGUGUUUAGAACACUAAAAUUGUGCCAUCUAAGUGGUACCCUUGUUUGAUGUUUCGAACUUGAAAUGUUAUCUUAAUAUAGCACAUUUGUAUUUGGUAACUGGCAAUGUAUAUAUUGCAGCUGAAUUUGACCUGUUCUUUUGGUCAAAUAUCCCAUUGAUCUUGUGCAAGAAAAUAUGAAUUAAUUAUACUGUUGAGGCCAUGUCUACUAAUUCAGGAUGCCUUAGAAAGGAUUUAUACUGGUCUCGUUGCUUCUAUAUUUUGUUUUCUUUAUUCGUGAUAUUAAAAAGACAACCUAUAAAACUGCUUGCCAAAAGCAUCUGAAAUUGGAUAACCAUGACAGAUAACAUAAGAGUUCUCUAACAAAAUAUGUCCUUGUUGUAUUUAUGUUUAUAUCAUGUGUAAAGAUUACAAUAGAGCCUGCAAGCAAAACCUGAGGUUUGAAGUGUGCCUAUAAAUUACUGUCUGAACAUGAUGAACACACAUUUGAAAUUGCUUGGUACCUAGCACAUGGAUUGAAUUAUUGGCAUUUUAUUAUAAUAAGAAUUAGUUCCCUUCAGAUUAUUUAGACUGAAAUUGCUAGAGUUUUUCAGACAACUAUAUAUUCGAAAAAGGGAAGUGUUCAAGAAAAUAUUUCCAGAGUCACGUGAUGAGUUUAUGGAGAUGUCGAAUAAAUUUGGUUUUAAGUUUUCCUUUGAAAGGUCAGAAAGCACAACUUUGAAAAGAAGCUCGAGUGUUGGCUCGAAAAGAACACGUUCUGUUAAUGUAGAUGGAGAUGAAUUGCCUUUGAGACUUGAAAGGUUUAAGGUUCGCACAGUAGUUACCGGCGGUGGUGCCCCUGGUGGUGAUAAGGGUGAUUCCAAGUCUGGUGGCGGCGCCGGUGGUGGUGCUUCCAAAUCAAAAUAAAACAUGGUUAAAAACCGAAGGAUUUAUUAAUUAGCCAAACUCAUUGAUGUUUAGUGAUAUUAACUUUCAAGUUGCUAAUUUUUUGUUUUAAAUCAAAUUAUUUUGUUAAAAGAAAUGACUUCAUUGUUUGUUUUUUUUUUUUUUGAGUGGGACUUGAUUGCUAAUAUUGUUAAGAGGUUUUAGUAAUUUAUUAUUAGAAAAUGAAAAAAAAAACAAUUUAUUUUUUUCAAAUGGAGAAUUUUCUUUUUGUUGUUUAAUUUGUUAUCUCAUUCAAUAUAAAUAACAACAUUUUAUGUUUGAAUCUCAUAUUAAUGUGAAGGGGAAUGUUUUAAUCCAUGGAAUGUAAAAUCCGUAGAUAUUGAAAUUAAUAGAAUUUUUACACUCCAUGAUUUAGUUAAAAAAUAUAAUCCAUAAAUUUGAAAGAUAUUUUUGGAAUAAAAUUAAUUGAUUGAAAUUAUUUUAUCAUAAAAAAAUAAUGGAAUUAUAAAGUCUCCCCUUCAAGGUGACUUUCUUCGUAAAAAUGCAUUUUUUAUUAAUGUACCGAUAUUCAAAACAUACUAAAAAAAGAAAAAAAAAUUAUAAUAAACCAGAGAAUUAUUUAUCAUGAGAAAAAUUAAUUUAUAAACUAUUAAAAUAAGGUACUCUUGUCAGUUGAAUUAAAAGUUUUCUCGGUAAAGUUAUCGACGGUAAAAUUAGCGACGUAAGUGGGCUAUGGAUAGGUCUAGGUUGAAAGUUUAUUCUUACAAAUUGAAUACUUCCAUCUCAAACAAAUACUUAAAACAAAAAGAACGAUAAAUAAACUCUUUGAUAUAUUUAUUUGGAUUUUAAGGUUCAAUAAAAUAUAAUAAACAAACAAAUCAAUCCAAAUAAAUCUUCGAUCAAAUAUAAUAUAAAAUUCACUUUGAAUAAAUAAUUAAAUGGAUAAACUAUUUAUAAUAAUGCGUUAUUAAAUAGGAGUAUAUAUAUAAAAAAAAAUUUAUAUUGUUAUUCUUAGAAGAAUAGCCUAUAAUUUACAAUAAACUGAAAUAAAAAGCAGAAGAUCGAGAUAGUUUAUGCCCUGUUCGGUAACGUUUUUGAGCUAGCUUUUUAUGAAAUUUUAAAUAUUCUAACUUCUAACGUUUAGUUUUUAAUUAAAAUUUUUAAUUAUUAUAGUCAUUUUUUUUUUGAAUUUAGGUAAUUAUACAAUUAAUAUUAUUUUUUAUCAUUUUAAGUUAAACAACUAAACAUACAUCUAUUCUUACCGAACGCUUCUAAUUUAAAUCGUUACAAAGCUAAAAACCAAAACAGCCAAUAUUACCGGCCAGACACUAAUUUGUUUGAACUAAUUGCUAGGAUUUUUUAUACUUUUCUUGCACUUUAUAUAAUUUUUGAGUGAAUUCCGGUUUAGAAAUUCAAAGAUACAAAUACGGAACAGAUAAUUAAGAAAAGAACAUUUUCAUUUAUUUCUUUUUAUGUGAUUAUUAAAAUACUUUUUAAUUUAGAAUUUUACAUUUUAAAAAAACUAAAGUUUUAAUAUAAAAGGAAUUUAUUAAACAAAAUACAUGCAUUAUAAUUUUUAUUGGUUAAGUAUUUUAGAUAUUGAUUUAUUAGAAUAGUUUAAUAACCCCUAAAAAAUUUAUACUAAUAAUUAUAAUUAAUAAGUUUUUAAAAUUAUGAAGUGUAUUUUUAUAUAUAAAUAUUUGUGGAACGUCGAUAUUAUUACUCAUAAUUUCCGCCUCCGCCGGUUUCCCGCUGUUGCCUCUCCAAUCACCGAGGCUGCAAGACUAAGGACUGUUUAUCUCGCCAUUGGUUUAUGUUUCACUCUGCUUCCGUACAUUCAAGCUCCCCUGUAAUCAGGAUUAAUUUCUCUCAGUUUGUUCAAAACUUGAUCCUGCUUUCGAAUUCUUAUUUCAGUUUAAAUAUCGAGUUGCUUUUGCUUUCCUCUGUCUCGUCGACUUCUGAUUCAAUCUUCUCGGUCUUGUAGGUUUACUAUUAUGUUGAGAAGUUUAGGAUUUGUGGAGGCCAGUGCGGUGAGUUGCAAUUUUCAAAAGACAAAAGUUAGACCCUUUUAGUUCCAAGUCAAGGCAUCUUAACAACACAAUAAGCCGAGUGGUAAGAACUAAUUUUUUCAUUAACUUUCCAUUUUUUAACUAAUCAUUUGCCUUUACUUCAUUUUAUUAUGUUGCCUUGCGAACAUUCUGUUUAUUGAACUUUAAUCAACUAUCAGAAAGCAGCUGCAUACGCAAUUAUCCUUUUUUAAUGCCAAUUGAAUUAAGAAUACUUUUUGCUUUUUUUUUUUUCGUAGCUGAUUGCAUGAUUGAUUAAUUAAUUACAUAUAUGUGAACUAAUGCCAUAUCUUAUUGCUUUGAAAUUUGAGUUGAUUAUGUUGUUUUGAGGGAUUAGUUCAGUUGAGCAUAGCUUUUCAAUAGAAAGAAGAUUAUGUUUUAGAACAGAGAUUCCUUUCUUAAAUUUUCUUAAAGGUUUCAAUUGAAGUGCUUAAUAAAAGUGAAAUCUUUACAACAUUAGGAACAAUUCUAUGCUCAAUUUGUUGAAGGUGAUAACUUCCUUUAGUAUUGUUUGGAAUUUGUUAGACCAUGAAAGCACGAAAUGUUUUAAAAUUUUAAAAUUAAAUAUGAGUUACAUUCUCUAUUCCUGCCCAUGAGUUGUAUAUUGGCAGCCAAUGAUGAAUUAGAGUUGAUUAAAAAUCUAAAUAGAUUUAUGAUUUUUGUAGUUAACCUAUCCCACACGAUAUAAUCAGUAUCAGACUAAAUGUGAUAUUACUACCAAUCUUGUUUGCAAGGUAGAUUCAUCACCUGGUAUGGCAUAUGGGAAUCUCCUGCAAAUUAGCUUUCAUGACUAAAAAUGGAUGAGUUCUUACAUUUUUUUGACUCAUUUGACAUUUAGCUUAUAAAUUCAACAUAAUGCAAGUACUUAAGAGAAAAAUAUGGAUACUAAUAAUAAUAAGAUAAUCAAACUUUGAACUCUUCAUUAUAUUCAAAACAGGAAGUUAAAUCUGAGAUCGUUAAGUGAAAUUGUUUACUACUCUGGCAAUGUCAGUUUUUCUGUUCUUUAGUUCACUAUUUUUCAUAAACCUGUCAUAAUUGACAUCAAGAAAUUCACAGUGGCAACAUACAAUAUCGAUUAACCAGCAUUGUUGUACCCAGUGUGUAGGUACAUGCUUUCACUCCUUCACCCAAUUGGCAGGUAUGUGCUCUCUUCAUUUUCUUUUUCCUCUUUCUUGGCUAUACUCAUCUUGACGUGUCUGAGCCUUAGAGAAUCAAGUUCUUUUUUGCUAUACUGAACAUUGCUCUUUGAUACCCUGAUUUCUUCAAACAUUUACUUGCUAAGUACCCCCUUCUCCUAAGUUCAUAUAUAUGCCAAUAUUAUCUUGCAAAUGGGUCACAAAUUUAUAGACUUGACCAAGAAUAUCAAUUUUUUCAUCAGUUUAAUAAAUGCUUUUAGCAAGCACCUUUUGCUUGUAAUAUUUUUACUGUAUUAGUGCCAUGAAUCCUUUUCCUAUCUUUUGUUGUUCAAUGGGUAUCUGAUCGUGUGACCUUCAAUAAUUAUUUUGCUACUUAGAUUGGUGCAGACCUGCAAAGGACAAAAUGUUCUCAAACUUUUUCCAUCACUUCAAGCUUUUCUUCAGCCAAAGAUUCUUGGGAAGUUACAUCUGCUGGUUUUGAAAGUGAGAAGAAAUAUGUUGAUUUGGAUCUUCUUUUCCGAUCAUGCAACAAAAUUCCCCAUGUUAAGUGUCUUCACACUCUUCUCGUGGUGUCAGGGAGAGUUGAAAAUAUAUUCAUCUCUGCAAAACUCGUUAAUCUUUAAGCCUAUCUUGGUGAAUUGUCAUUAUCCUAUCGCACCUUCGAUCAGAUUCCAAAGAAAAAUGUCUACACCUGGAAUUCUAUGACAUCUGCUUAUGUUCGCCGUGGCCUUUUCCAAGAAGCUUUGUGUUGUUUCUAUCAGUUCUUGUUGACAUCUGGUCUUCAGCCUGAUUUUUACACUUUUCCUCCUGUAAUUAAAGCUUGCCGAACUUCUUUCACUUUAGCUUGCUUAUAUUGUAGAGCAGCAUUAGGAAAAUCUAGACAUUUGAAUUCUUCAGCUUUGUUAGUAUAAAGGAGCCAAAUGUAAAGUCUUUUUGCUAGAAAAAAUUCACUAGUGGAUUUGUAAUAGUUUUUUUGUCCAUGCCAAGUUUGGUAUAUCUCCUUUAACAAAAGCAUUUUUGGAGGCAGCAAUAGUCUGGGCUAAAUCCAAGUGUAAAGUAAACGGAGGGAAGCAGUUUUGUUUUCCUUUUAACUUGUGUAAAUAUUGCAUAGCCCAGCCUAAAUUGGGCCUGGUCUUAUCCAAAUUGGGCCAUGAAAACCGCAGUUACAUAAAGUAUGUGUGCGGGGAAAUGAAUGGGGCAAAUUGAGAUUGUCGAAAAAUGUGCCGAAUUAGGAUUUUAAUUUUAUUGGUUAAAAAUAAAGAUAAUUUGAUUUUAAUUAUUCAUAUUAAUUUUCAAUGUAAAUUUAAAUCUUAUUGGAUAAAAUAAGAUAUUAUAUUAUAUAAUAUAUAAAGCAUAUAUUAAAUAUGGUAAGAAUAUAAUAUUUUUAAAAAAAUUUUAAUUUUAUUGGUUAAACAAUACAUUUUUAUUAUCCAUUUGUUUAUUUUGUUUUGUUUAUUUUAAUUUUAUUUUGUUUAUUAUCUAUUUGCUGAUCUCUUGUGUUGUGAAAUUUAAUAUUAAUUGUGUCGUCUUAUGUUAGAAGGAAUGACCAUUGUUUGACAAACAAAAAAUGUUUGUUAUUGCAUUGAAUAUUUCAACAAUUCCAUUUAUUUAUAAUUAUAUAUGCUAAAUUAUAAAAUUGAAAAAAAUAAUUUAAACAUUCCUAAGAGGUUUCCUAAUUAUUAAGUUUUAACAUGUUAAAUUUAUGAAUGCUUCAUCGCAUAAAAAUGAAAAAUUUCAUAAAAGUUACCUUCAACAUAAUUUGCCUUGAUUUGAGAAAUCUGAAUUCAUCCCUAAAAUUUUAGAGGACUUCUUUUUUUAGAAAAAGAAUUACAAUAUCAAAUUUAUAUAUAUAAAAAAAAAGAAAAUUGAAUGGGUUAUUGAGCAAAUCUGAAUCAUAUAAUUCAAAACAUAAUCAUUUUGAAAACAUUUUCUUACGUGAUAUUUUAUUCUCAUUUUAUAUUAUAUUGUUUAUUUAACAUAUUUUUAUUUUGAAUAUAUUUAUUUAUUGUAUUGCUUUUACACUUUUAAAUAACUUAUUUUGAAAAUUAAUUCAUUUUUAGUUGAUUUGUGUUUUAUUUCCUUAAUUCGUCUACACCCAAUGGAACAAUGAUAAGAAAAUAAAUUUUUCAAUAUGAAUAUUGCAUUAGUGACAGAAUUGUUCUUCAUAAUGAAAAAUUUAUUGGUAAAAAAAUUACAUAUUUUUAGUGUUUUUUAAACUAAUGCAACAAUAAAAAUUUAUAAUUUCAAUUGACAAAAUAUGGAAGCUAAUAUUGAUUUUUCAUAUCUUAGUAAUAUAAAUAAUCUAUGAUAUUAUAUUAUACAUAAAAAACUAAAUUAAAUAAAUUUAAAUUAUUAUAAAAAAAAUUUACAUUGCUUAAUAAGUAAUUUUAUUUAAAAAAAAAAAGUGAAUUGUCAAAUUAUAAUAAUGUUUAUAAAUUUAUUCUUUUAUUAACAAGUCAUCAAGGCCUUUUGAUUUACACUAAAUUACCUUAACUUAAGUAGUCUUCGAAAAGUCCAUUUAUUUUUUCCGCAUUAGCUUUUAAAGAUAUACCGACCAAUCAUAUCCAGAAAUUAAUUUUUAAUGACAAAUGAUAUUAAGAAGUUCAACGGAAAUAUUAUGAUUAGUGUAAAUAUAAUGUGGCCUUGACGGUGACGUAUUGUGAUGCCACCCCACCAAUCAUAUCUUUAAGCUUUUGGCCCAACCAAGAAUUCAAACUAUGUUUUUAAUUUCAAUGAUUUAUUUUCACAAAUUGCCAUUUUCUUAUUUGUUAAAGGUAACGAUCGUCAAUCAUUUCAAAAUCACUUCAGUAAUUAAGACCUCAGCUGGACACCUGAUUCUUAGUUUUCUUUGAAUGAGAUGUGUUCUUUUUUUAUCAAUUUUCUACAGUAAAAUAAAUUUAUUUUAGUAAAAACUAUGUAUCUUAAUAAUUUAAAAAAAAAGGAUUUUAAUUAAUUAAUUAGUCACUUGUGAAUUGUGAUUAAACUCUCUACCAUUUACUAAUAAAUAAGCAAUUUUAAAAAAUUACAUGAUAUGGAAAUAUGAAAUUCAAUUUAAUUCCUAAUCCACAUAUAUAUAUAUAUAUAUAUAUAUAUAUAUAUGUCAAGAAAAAGCCUAGUGUGGGUCCUUUCCAUGUUUUGCAACACGUUAAGGGAAAAUUAUUAUUUCGUCCCUGAUAUUUGUCAUAAUUAUUGAAGUUGUCACGCCCCGACUCUAAUCAUCAGAGGAAUUGUCCCCCUUGGGUCUAAAUAAAUAUACAAGAUUGGCAAGACCCGCACGGUUUUGUCCCGCAGGUGAAAUGAGAAACUUCCCAGAAGAUCUGUGACAUCUUGACCCGGCAAAGCAAUCCUAAAAGGGUGGGUAGAGUGAAGCUCCUGGCUAGCUUCUAGGAUGGCAAGCUAGCUAAGAUAGUGGAAUGCGGGACACAGGAAUGAAUCGAAUCACAUAUCAAAAAAGGGGAAACUAAUCAUUAGAGGCGCCUUUGGGUGGAAUAGCUGAGAGUUGGAAGAACUCCAAGGUUAAGUGUGCUCGCUUAACGGAAAUCCUAGGAUGGGGGACCUCCUGGGAAGUUUCCCAUUUCGCCUUCGGGACAAAUCCUUNNNNNNNNNNNNNNNNNNNNNNNNNNNNNNNNNNNNNNNNNNNNNNNNNNNNNNNNNNNNNNNNNNNNNNNNNNNNNNNNNNNNNNNNNNNNNNNNNNNNNNNNNNNNNNNNNNNNNNNNNNNNNNNNNNNNNNNNNNNNNNNNNNNNNNNNNNUAGUGGAAUGCGGGACACAGGAAUGAAUCGAAUCAUAUAUCGAAAAUGGGGAAACUAAUCAUUAGAGGUGCUUUUUGAUGAAAUGGCUGGAGAGUUGGAAGAAUUCUAGGGUUAAGCGUGCUCGCUUAACGGAAAUUUUAGGAUGGGUGACCUCCUGGGAAGUUUUUCAUUUUACCUGAGGGACAAAAUCGUGCGGGUCUUGCCAAUCUUGUAUGGGGGAUUUGGCUUGAUCCAAAGCGGACAAUUCCUCUAGUGAUUAAAGUCGGGGCGUGACAUAAGUAGUCCCCGAAAUUUAUACAUAUAUUUAUAAUACCCCUGAGGUUUGCUACCGUCAUAUUAAUUGGUCCUUCCGUCAAACCGUUAAUUUUGAGAGGAAAAGACGAAAUUAUCCUUUGAAAAAAUAAUUAUUUCGUCCCUGAGAUUUGCCAUCAUUAUUAAGUAGUCCCCGACAUUUAUACAAAUAUUUAUAACGUUCCUAAGGUUUACUUCCGUCAUAUUAAUUGGUCCUUCCAUAAAAAAAAAAUACACUUUUUCCGUUAAUUUUCUGUGAAUUUUGAGUGGAAAAGACGAAAUUAUCUUUUACAAGUUUUCAUUGACAUUAUUACUAAUAUCUUUCCUCUAAAAUACCUAAAACUCACAUUUUGACCAUCUUCCUCAACCCAACGCGGUCUUCAUUGCCACCACUGUGUCAAUGAAAACUAUUAUUUCCAUAAUCAGAUCACCACCAAAAACUUUUUAAGUGUGACAAAGUUUUUUCAUAAAAAGAAUGUGUAAGUGAAAAAAAUAGUUUGCGAGGAAAUUAAGAUCGUAAUAAAAACUUUUUAUCACGUUUUAUAAAUAGUGGCAAAUAUUUUUAUCAAACCUUCUAGAGUGCAACAAUUUUUUCGUACUAAAAAUAUUUAAGUAAUAAAAAUAAUUUAUCAAGAAAUUAAAAUCAUGAUGAAAUUUUUUUAUCACAUUUUGAAAAUGCGAGAAGUGCAGUGACAAAAUUUUAAUCAUUCAUUUUUAGAAUCAAACUUUUUAGGUUUCUUAAAAUGACAAAAAAAUAUUUUCGUCAACAAUUAAAAAAGAGUGACAAUAAUUAUUUUAUAACAAAUUUGUUUAGGUAAUAAUUAAUAAAUUUAAUUUAUUCACAUAUAUAUAUAUAUAUAUAUAUAUAUAUAUAUAAUCAUUUCACAUUUAACAAAUAAGUACAAAUUUUGUACAAAAGUUAUCAUCAUGGCUGUUGACACACAAUAAUAAAGUUAUCGUCAUGGACUUUGCGGUAGGUCGGGGUACUACGUGGCCAGGAGGUUGUUGAGGGGGAGGAUGUGUAAUAUCCUCAAUUUUGUAAUUCUUUCUAUUUUAGCUUUUUCGAUGAAUUCGGUUAUCCGAAUAAAAGGAAAACUUAAAAUAAUGGGAAACACUAUAGAUUGAGGAUAUUAAUAUUAAUUAAAUGAAACAUUAAUUGAUCUUUACAAAUCCAUGUGAAAGCUUAAAGGAAAUCAAAAAUGAGUUGAAAGAUGAAUGACUUCUCGGUAAAGCACGAUUUUACCUGAAAAGCCUGAAAAACGGUAAUUUCCGUACGAUUUUUACCAAGUGGAGUUUAGAAUAUUAAAUACACUUGGUUUAUACCUAAUAGGACUAAAGUAAAAUGAUUAAAAAGAUUAGAGUGCCAAAGGAUGAAGGGAAAACAAAAGGGAGGAUUAUAGUGCAAUUUGCAUUUAAAGGACAUGGAAGGUUUNNNNNNNNNNNNNNNNNNNNNNNNNNNNNNNNNNNNNNNNNNNNNNNNNNNNNNNNNNNNNNNNNNNNNNNNNNNNNNNNNNNNNNNNNNNNNNNNNNNNNNNNNNNNNNNNNNNNNNNNNNNNNNNNNNNNNNNNNNNNNNNNNNNNNNNNNNNNNNNNNNNNNNNNNNNNNNNNNNNNNNNNNNNNNNNNNNNNNNNNNNNNNNNNNNNNNNNNNNNNNNNNNNNNNNNNNNNNNNNNNNNNNNNNNNNNNNNNNNNNNNNNNNNNNNNNNNNNNNNNNNNNNNNNNNNNNNNNNNNNNNNNNNNNNNNNNNNNNNNNNNNNNNNNNNNNNNNNNNNNNNNNNNNNNNNNNNNNNNNNNNNNNNNNNNNNNNNNNNNNNNNNNNNNNNNNNNNNNNNNNNNNNNNNNNNNNNNNNNNNNNNNNNNNNNNNNNNNNNNNNNNNNNNNNNNNNNNNNNNNNNNNNNNNNNNNNNNNNNNNNNNNNNNNNNNNNNNNNNNNNNNNNNNNNNNNNNNNNNNNNNNNNNNNNNNNNNNNNNNNNNNNNNNNNNNNNNNNNNNNNNNNNNNNNNNNNNNNNNNNNNNNNNNNNNNNNNNNNNNNNNNNNNNNNNNNNNNNNNNNNNNNNNNNNNNNNNNNNNNNNNNNNNNNNNNNNNNNNNNNNNNNNNNNNNNNNNNNNNNNNNNNNNNNNNNNNNNNNNNNNNNNNNNNNNNNNNNNNNNNNNNNNNNNNNNNNNNNNNNNNNNNNNNNNNNNNNNNNNNNNNNNNNNNNNNNNNNNNNNNNNNNNNNNNNNNNNNNNNNNNNNNNNNNNNNNNNNNNNNNNNNNNNNNNNNNNNNNNNNNNNNNNNNNNNNNNNNNNNNNNNNNNNNNNNNNNNNNNNNNNNNNNNNNNNNNNNNNNNNNNNNNNNNNNNNNNNNNNNNNNNNNNNNNNNNNNNNNNNNNNNNNNNNNNNNNNNNNNCUACAAGAUAUAAAAAAAAAAUGAAGGAAAUAAAAAGGUUUAAGUCCCUUGUAGUAUACUUAGUAAGCAUUUAUAAGAAUUAAGUGCUUAUUAAUUAUAUUACGGGCGACAUGCCAUGUCUUACAGUAGGGUAAGGUGUGACAGGAUGCAUGAGGUAGUAGGUGGAUGGUGAGGUAGGAUGUGGGGUUUAGAUGCUUCCCCUAAAGAUAAAGAUUUUAUGUGGAGGGCUCUAAAGAAUGUGUUGCCUACGAAGGAGAGAUUAAGGAAGAGAGGGGUGGAGGUUGACAUUGGGUGUCCUUGGUGUGGGGAGGAAGAGGAUAUUAAUCAUGUAGUAGUGUUAUGUAGUAAGGCUAAGGGAGUUUGGAGGCAAGGGGGGUAUGAAGUAGGUGAUAUAAAUAUUUCUUUUACUAACUGCUUUUUGCAGGUACUUGCUAAUGGUGAUAAACUAAAUUCCCAAAAGUUUUUGGUGUAUGCUAGAUAUAUUUGGAUGACAAGAAAUAAUGCUCUUUGGAACAAUAUAAGAGACACAUGCUACACUAUAUUCUUGAAGGCAAAAGAAUACAUGAUUAGUUGGGAACAUACAAAGUCGGCGCUAAGGAGCACGGCUAGUGCAUCCUCAAAUACAAGUUGACAGAGGCUUGCAAUAUUUCCACCCGGACGUCUUAGCAACAGUGGAGACCAAUCAUGGCAAGCUUUUGUUGAUGGUUCUAUUUUUGAGCAAGAAGGCAUGCAGGGCUUUGGAGCGGUGAUAGAGUCAGAGGAAGGCAUUUUUAUUCGAGCAGUUUCAGGCCACUUUACAGGAGGUACGGACCCUUUUAUUGCGGAGGCUCUAGCUUUUCACAGUUUUUUAUUAUUUCUCAAGCAAAAUUAUGUUGAGCGUGGAGAUAGUAUUUUCAUGGACUCGCAGGUUUUAUUUUUUGCUUUGAGCUCCUCUAUUUUAUUCAAAUCGGAUGUGAGGAGUAUUAUUUCUGAUUGUAAGAACUUAUUUUUAGAACUCCCUUUGGUUUCGUGUAAAUAGAUUCAUAAGAAAGCGAACUUAAAGGCUCAUACCCUAUCUCGAGCUUCUAUUUACUUUGUUCAUCUACAUAUUUGGAAUUAUAUUCCUCAUUGUUUAUUCAAACUUUAUAAUAACGAACGAAAAGCUAAGAGUUUUAGUCUUUAAAAAAAAAAAAAAAAAACUGAAAAGUCUCGCACUUUCCUUUUCUAAUGAUGGUUUGUGAUCUUAUCCUAAAGAAAAUGAUGCUUAUAAAAUUUGGUACAAAAGUUAUCAUCAUGGCUGUGGACACACAAUAAUAUAGCAUAAGGCCGGUUUUAGGAUAUUAAGAGAUUUUUAAAAUUAAGUUAUCCUUGUCACUCUCAAGGAAGUGGGUGGGAAUGGACUUUAACUAUAACCUAGAACCUGGCUAUGUUCCUCCUUUAACAACAGGGCUUAAGCACAAUACAACACGAGAAUGCUUAAAAUAAUCUAUGGGUUUUCAUAUAUAUUUCUUUUUAUAUCAAAGUGGUGUUUAGUACCACAAAAUAAAACUAAAUAAUUUUUUUUUUCUAAUGUUGAAUAAUAUAUGUAUUAAAAAUUGUAAUUUAUCAAUUAUCACUUCAAAUAAAUUUAAUUAUUAGGUAUUGAAAAUUUUAAUUUUAAGUACCUAUAUGUGUUGACAAUCUACUUAAGAUAGUUACAUAUUUUCCAAGCUGAAAAAUAAAUAUUUAAUAAUAAUAAAGUUUCAAUUCAUAAAUGGGUCAAGUAAUUUAAUUUAGAAGAGAAAUUUCAAUAGUGUAUGUAUAUAUGGUUUUGUAAUAAAAUGAAUUUUUAUUUUUAAUUUGUUUAAGUAUAUUAGCGUUGUGAUAUUAUAUACAUAGUAAUAUAAUAAAAAAAAUCAUAUAGAUUAGUUGUAUUUAUUACCUAAAAAAUAAUCAGUUUUAAUUAAUAAUGUUUUUUAUGUAUUAGAAUAUUUUAUAUAAUAAUAAUACAUAUAAGAUUAUGAUUUGAUUUAAUUUAGUCCUAUAAAUAAUUGACAAUCCUAUAUAUAUAUAAAAUUGAAUAUAAAAAAUAUUCUCUUGAAAUUUUAUUUUCAAAAUAUCUUCUUUUUUUUUUUUUAUAAAAACACAAUAUCACUUGUGAAUGACAUUAGCAUAUGAGCCAACUUGAUUUAAAAUAUACAACUAUAAUUUAAAUUUAACUUGAAAUCACUUUAUGAGUUGACUAGAGCUAUUUUUAGUAGCAUUUAACUGUACAAUCUUAAAAUGAAUGUAUUGCUUAUGAUUGCUAUCUCUUGGUUUCAUCAAUAAUUCUUUUUAUUUAUUUAUUAUGUUCAGAUGAAUAAUAAGAACCGAUAGUUGAAUUACUGAAAACGGACCGUAAAAACGGACACAGGGCCUGAACACAUUCGUGGAGCUAUCAGAAAAAAAAUAGUUCAAUUACUAAAAAUAUAAUAUCAAUAUGCAUGAAAUCUAUCAAUCGUUGGAUCACGUGCACAUGGGAACUCAUGUGCACACAAUAAUUUCUGUUCCCAUAUUCAUUUAGAAGGUGUUUAGGUGUGGCUGGGCAUGGUUUCAUUUUGAACCAAAAUCAAACUGGAUACUAGAAAUGGUUUGAAUCAGACCAGUUAGAACCAGUUGAGAAAGAUUCCUAGAUUUUGAAUUGGUUCCAGAAAAUUUCGGCUUGAAAAACCAUUGAGCCAUAAUUGACUAGAAAACCUAACCGGUAGAAUCUGCUGGAUUUUGGGAGGACCAGCUGGACUGGUUGGAGUUGAAACCGAAAUUAAAAUCGGAAGAACCAAUUCGUUUCGAACUGGUGGAUGGGCCUAAUAAUAAUGCAUGUGUUCGUGUAAUUGUUAGUCAUCUUUGAUAAUGGAACCCUGCAAGGUUUAUUAACUGCUCAAAACAGUUUGAACACGUGGAAGCAUCUAAUGGACAAAGUACAUGUGUUUCUUUCUUUCAAAAAAGAGUUGAACUACAUAACUCUCUCUCUCCCCUCAUUAAAAUUAAGAAAAUCAUUCAACAAUCUCAAUUCUAUAUAUAUAUAAAUUACUUCUAUUUGCUUUACCCAUCUACGUAUCUGGAAUUAUAUUCCUCAAUUGUUUAUUCAAGAUUUAUGAUAAUGAAUGAAAAACUAUGAGUUUUACUCUUUCAAAAAAAAAAAAAAACUGAAAAAUCUCGUAUUUUCCUUUUCUAAGGAUGGUUUGUGAUCUUAUCCUAAAGAAAAUGAUGCUUAUUGUCUUAAUAAUGACUUUGGUUUUCCUUUAUUUAUUAAGAAUAUUAAUAAAAAAAAUAUAAAAAUUUUAACACUUAAUUGAGAUGUGAAAUAGUUGAAAUUCCAGUGGUAAGUGCGUUUACGAUCUAACAAUGGAUUCAUGUUCAAAUCUUUUUUUUUUUUUUUUUAGUUUAGUUUCAAUUAAACUGAUGAAAUAGAAAAUUGAACUUUUAUUUUUUAUAAAAAUUAAAUUAAAAUAUAAUUAAUAGGAGAUCAAACUAAAAUAUUUUGAUUUGAUUCGGUUGGAUUUAGUUAAUUUGGUAAUCUAGAAAUUUCAAUGAAUUAUUAAAUAUUUAUUGGUUGAAUUUGCUUACCGAUGUAACUUACCAUAAAUAAUAUAUUAGUUAGUUUGUUUUGCAUCUUUCUUUCUCUGCCAAGUAACAUAGUUUUAGCAAUUUCAAUUCAGUUGGGCGAAAUCAAAUUUUUUGUAUAAAAAAUUAAAAUUAAAGUAAUUAAAAAUUAUAAAAUUGAUUAAUCAAAUUGAAUCGAAAAGUUGAAAAAUUAAAGUUGACUCAUCGUUUAAAGGGAGAUUUUUCAUUAUGUAGCUUAGAAUAAUAUUUCUAUAAUUUAUCUUCCAAUAAAUCAAAAAGGAAAAAACUAAUAUAAGAAAUAUAAAUCCUUGUAAAAUUUAAAAGAGAAAUUGUCUAGUAAUCUAAGUAUGAGUGCCAAAGUGAUUAUAAAUUGUUUUAGUCAGUAUUUAACAUUUAGUCUGUCAAUAAAUAUUUUUAAUUAAAUAUAGUAAAUAAAAAGGUUAGAACAAUAACUUAAAAUUAAAUACUUAACUCUUAAAAAUAAUUCAAUAAUAAUGUAAAAAUGUACAUCAUCGAAAGAAUUUGAAAUAAAUACUAUCUCAAUUCUAAGCAUGAAAACACAUGCACAAAUUUAAAAAAAAAAAAAAACUCAUAAUUAAUGUUGGUCUAAUUUAUAUUGGAACUCUGAGAUUUCAGAUUCGAGAUUUCUCCGUUACAAGAGUUUUUCAUAAUUUGGUGAGCAAAGGUGAAAAGUAUUUUGUUGUUUAGCCUACCAUAUUCUUUUGGCCCAGGUGGUAAUUUGGUUGGCCUUUUUAUUUAUAUGGAGAAUAAAAAAUCUCGAAUUUUAAUAAUCUCGUAGAUGUGUUCACCUGUUUCGUAAGCCAAUUUCAACCUAUAAGAGGUAAAAGAUGGAGGACGAAUAAGCAAGAGAUUUGAAAGUGUUGAUUUCGAUUUGAAAGAGGCACCUUGAUAAAUGAGAGGCCAUGAAGAAAUAUUUGACUGUUUUAGAUUGUGGAUUCGCCCAACUUGUAUGGGGCCCUAAUAAAUAGAACUCACUCUCUAGGGUUUGUUGGAAUGGGACGCGCGAGUCUUUUUUUUUUUUUUUUUUUUUUGUUAAAAAAGGUAACAAAUGAGCAUAUUAUAUUUUCAGCCCAAAUUCAAGGGGCAUUUUGUCAAAAAAGUUCGAAUGGUGACCUAAUUUUGUUUUUGAAAUUUAAUCCAAUUGUCCACUCCCAGCUUCAUGUAGUUCAUUCUGUUGACAUAUUUAUAAUUUUAAAUAAUAAGUUAAGAAACGCCGCCGCUUGCGGUGCAGCAGCCAUACUUCAUUCUGAACUCCUACUCUAUCUUCUUUUUUUUUUAUAUAUAUAUAUAUAUAGUGGACUACUAUUUUGUUGCAUGAUGUACACAAAAUUAAAAAUAAAAUUAUAAAAAACAAAAAUUCAUUUUUUAGGUAAACCAAUAGUACUAAUCAUUUGCAUUGAACAUUAUACACAAAAUUAAUUAAUGCGAACAAAAUAUUGUAAUGAUCAAGUGCAAGUCAUAAAUUAUAUGGAGGCAUGGUCCUUCCUUGUCCAUACAUUCCAACCCAUUUAUGUAUGGGGUGAAAAUUCCAUAUCACAAAUUAUAAUACAGUCUUUGAAAUCCUCCCUAACAUGUUAGCAUGUGCCACUGUAUCCAAUAUUAAAUUAAAUAACAUUAAGUAAACAUUAUUUUAUUAUUAAAAUAAUAUAUUACAGAUAAUUUUUAUUAGUAUUAAAUUUUUAUUUAAAAAAAUAUAUAAAUCUUAUUUAAUAUUUUAAUUUUAUUGGUUAAAAUAAAGGUAAUUAAUUUUAAUUGUUCAUAUUAAUUUUCUAUGUAAAUUUAAAUCUUAUUGGAUAAAAUAAGAUAUUAUCUUAUAUAAUAUAUAAAGUAUAUAUUAAAUAUGGUAAGAAUAUAAUAUUUUAUUUAAAAAUUUUAAUUUUAUUGGUUAAAAAAUAAAGAUAAUAUAUUUUUAUUGGUUAUAUUAACUUUCUAUUUAAAUUUAAAUUUUAUUGGAUAAACUAAAGAAUUAUAUUAUAUAUUAAAUAACGUAUCUAUUAAAUAUAAUAAAAAUAUAAUAUUUUAAAAAAAUUUAAUCUUAUUUUGUAAUGUAAUUUAAUUUUGAUUGGUUAUAUUAUACUAUUUAAGGUACAUAUUAAAUGUGGUUAAAAUAUAAUAUAUUUAAUUAUUAUUUUUAAUAAAAUUUUAAUUUGAUUGAUUAUAAUUAUUUGUGUGAUUUAUUUUGCAAAGAAUAAACAUAAUUUAUUAUUAUUUAUCAAGGAAUAUAUAUAAGAUUUAUUUUUCAAUAUGAAUAUUGCAUUAGUAACAAAAUUGUUCUUCAUAAUGAAAAAUUUAUUGGUAAAAAAAUUACAUAUUUUUAGUGUUUAAACUAAUGCAACAAUAAAAAUUUAUAAUUUCAAUUGACAAAAUAUGGAAGCUAAUAUUGAUUUUUCAUAUCUUAGUAAUAUAAAUAAUCUAUGAUAUUAUAUUAUACAUAAAAAACUAAAUUAAAUAAAUUUAAAUUAUUAUAAAAAAAAUUUACAUUGCUUGUCGUCAAGACCUUUUGAUUUACACUAAAUUACCUUAACUUAAGUAGCCUACGAGGAGUCCAUUUAUUCUUUAACUUAAGAUUUACACUGAAGAUGGAGGAUGAAUAAGCAAGAGAUUUAUUCUUUAACUUAAGUAGGACUCACUCUCUUGGGUUUGUUGGAAUGGGACGCGCCCUCCCAAGGAAGAAAGAAAAUGUGCAUUUUGUGCCUUUUUUGCCCAAGUGAUGGGUCUUUUUUUUUUUGGUAAAAAAUGGGUAUAUUAUAUUUUCAGCCCGAAUUCAAGGGGCAUUUUGGAACUUCUUUCAUUUAUUUAAGAUGACCAAACUCUUUCAUCUAGAUCAACUUGCGUUGGGACGAAUACAUCAUUUAAUUCAUGAAUUUUGACAAAUAAAAUUUUGUGACACUUUGAACUAUAAAAUCGAUUUUGUGGCAUUCUGAACUUCAUUUUUUGUAAUAAUUUCACACAUUCUUAUAUUAAAAAUAGUAAAUUUUAAGGUUUUUUACUUUUAUAUGUAAAAUAUUGAUUUGAUAUGUGGUUAAUAUAACUUUUGCAACAAUAAUUUUACAUGUUUUAAGUUUUCAAUAAGUGUUUAAUCGAUGUAAUUUUAUUAGUUAAAAUAUUCAAUAGGUCAAAAUAAAAGUUGAGGGCGCCAUAAAAUUUUGUUGUGAAAAGUAUAUGGGUGAAUUUAUGUAUUCGGUCACUUGCAUUGGUAUUAUCUCCGGUUACAUAAUGUGUGUGUGAGGAAAUGAAUAGGGCAAAUUGAGAUUGUCGAAAAAUGUGCCGAAUUAAUAAAAAUAUUAUUUAAUAUUUUAAUUUUAUUGGUUAAAAAUAAAGGUAAUUAAUUUUAAUUGUUCAUAUUAAUUUUCUAUAUAAAUUUAAAUCUUAUUGGAUAAAAUAAGAUAUUAUAUUAUAUAAUAAAUAAAGUAUAUAUUAAAUAUGGUAAGAAUAUAAUAUUUUUUAAAAAAUUUUAAUUUUAUUGGUUAAAAAAUAAAGAUAAUAUAUUUUUAUUGGUUAUAUUAACUUUCUAUUUAAAUUUAAAUUUUAUUGGAUAAAAUAAAGAAUUAUAUUAUAUAUUAAAUAACGUAUAUAUUAAAUAUAAUAAAAAUAUAAUAUUUUUAAAAAAUUUAAUCUUAUUUUUUAAUGUAAUUUAAUUUUGAUUGGUUAUAUUAUACUAUUUAAGGUACAUGUUAAAUGUGAUAAAAAUAUAAUAUAUUUAAUUAUUAUUUUUAAUAAAAUUUUAAUUUGAUUGGUUAUAAUUAUUUGUGUAAUUUAUUUUGCAAAGAAUAAACAUAAUUUAUUAUUAUUUAUCAAGGAAUAUAUAUAAGAUUUGUUUAUUUGACAUGAAAUGAAAAUAAAACUCAUUAGAAACAUAUAUAAUAUAUAAAAAUAUGGUAUAACAUAUUAUACUAACAAACCAUAUAACACGUCGAAAGGAAUUUUUUUUUUCUCAAAAAAAGCAAUUAUAAAAUUAACUAUAUACUCAUAGACUUUAGCAAAAAGUAAAAAAGAAAAAAUCAAAAUUAUAAACAUAAUAUAAAUUCAAAACAUAAAUUAAGUCAAAUUAAUCCUCUUGAAAACAUUUUCUUACGUGAUAUUUUAUUCUCAUAUUAUAUUAUAUUAUUUAUUUAACAUAUUUUAUUUUCAAUAUUUAUUUAUUGUAUUGCUUUUACACUUUUAAAUAACUUAUUUUGAAAAUUAAUUCAUUUUUAGUUGAUUUGUGUUUUAUUUCCUUAAUUCGUCUACACCCAAUGGAACAAUGAUAAGAAAAUAAAAUUUUCAAUAUAUAUUGCAUUAGUAACAGAAUUGUUCUUCAUAAUGAAAAAUUUAUUGGUACAAAAAUUACAUAUUUUUAGUGUUUUUUAAACUAAUGCAGCAAUAAAAAUUUAUAAUUUCAAUUGACAAAAUAUGGAAGCUAAUAUUGAUUUCUCAUAUCUUAGUAAUAUAAAUAAUCUAUGAUAUUAUAUUAUACAUAAAAAAAAUUACAUUGCUUAAUAAAUAAUUUUAUUUUUUAAAAAAACUUAAUUUUCAAAUUAUAAUAAUGUUUACAAAUUUAUUCUUUUCUUAACAAAUCAUCAAGGCCUUUUGAUUUACACUAAAUUAUCUUAACUUAAGUAGCCUUCGAGGAGUACAUUUAUUCUUUCCGCAUUAGCUUUUAAUGGUAUACCGACCGUAGGUAUUUUACUAUCAAAUAAUUAUUGCUUGAUUUCUAUUUUUUUUUUUAAAAAAAAAAAAAAUUGAUUGACUGAUUUUUUUAUUCUUUUUAAGAGUUUGUAUUCUAAACUCAGAAAAUGAGAAUUACAAAAGAAAAAGCUUAGUGUGGGUCCUUUCCAAGUUUUGCAACACUUAAUUGCCAUUCAUCUCCAUCAAAAGGAAAAAAGAAAUAGAAAGCAUUAAGUGGCAUUCCAUUAGCAUUCCAUUCCAUUGGCAUUCCAUUGAAAUAGAACAAAACAACUUCUACUUUUAUUAAAUUAAAUUUUUGAAAAUUCCAGUUUAAAAAUUUAGAGUUAUGAAAUUUAGUAAAAGAAAUGUAAUAAAAAGACAAAAUGAGUCAUUAAAAUGUCUUUCUUUUUUAUAUCUUCUUUUUACCUCUAUAUAGCCGAUACAAUCACCCUAUACUCUCAUCACAAACCCCUCCCCUGUCUUCCCCUGCCCUUAACUAUCGAGCAGCAACCAUGCGUUCAUCAACUACAAAACUGCUCAGCCUCAAUGCCAUUAAAAUGUCAAUCUUGAUCUUGCUCCUCAUUUUUAUCCUCAACUCUAAUCACAUGGUAACUGCGACAACUCUGCAUCACAGUAAUAAGCAAACACUUGCUGCUAAUGAGAAGAAGGCGGUGGCCGUUCCAGACAAAGCAACGCCACAAAAUUCUGCACCCAACCCAUGCACUUACCUUCCUGUAACAGAUCCUAAAAAGUGUGGAAAGCAUUAGAAUCUUAAUUACAGCAAGUC